rnacentral:piRNA from 1 species
UGAUAGGAUCCCGUGGCAGGGACACAAAC